UACGUAGGGUGCGAGCGUUGCCCGGAUUUAUUGGGCGUAAAGGGCGCGUAGGCGGCCACGCACGUCCGUUGUGAAAUCGCCCGGCUCAACUGGGCGGGGUCGGCGGAUACGGCGUGGCUGGAGCAAGCUAGGGGGCAAUGGAAUUCCCGGUGUAGUGGUGGAAUGCGUAGAUAUCGGGAGGAACACCAGUGGCGAAGGCGGUUGCCUGGAGCUUUGCUGACGCUGAGGCGCGAAAGCGUGGGGAGCGAACAGG
rnacentral:rRNA from 1 species